GACUCGGUGGCGGACGGCCCGCGUCUCCUUCCCAUAACAAGCUACUCCUGAAGGGCCGCCUGGAGAGCCCGCCCGUUCGAUCCGGGCCCGAGUCA